rnacentral:rRNA from 1 species
AUGUACAAACCAAAGUAUAUAAUACAUAUAACAGAUGAUUAUGUCAUUGAGAAAAGCAACUUGAGCCGGCAAUUCCUGUUUUGUGAUUGGAACAUUGGACAGGCAAAAUCUACAGUAUCCGCUACAGCUGCUAUUGCUAUCAACUCCAGCCUCCAUAUUGAUGCUCUGCAGAAUCGUGCCUGUUCAGAGACUGAACAUGUUUUCAAUGAUGCAUUCUGGGAGGUCCUUGAUGCUGUCAAGAGACUGAACAUGUUUUCAAUUAUGCAUUCUGGGAGGUCCUUGAUGCUGUCAAGAGACUGA